CCUACGGGUGGCAGCAGUGGGGAAUAUUGGACAAUGGGCGAAAGCCUGAUCCAGCCAUGCCGCGUGUGUGAAGAAGGCCUUCGGGUUGUAAAGCACUUUCAGUGGGGAAGAAAGCCUUGGGGCUAAUACCCUCGAGGAAGGACAUCACCCACAGAAGAAGCACCGGCUAACUCCGUGCCAGCAGCCGCGGUAAUACGGAGGGUGCGAGCGUUAAUCGGAAUUACUGGGCGUAAAGCGCGCGUAGGCGGUCUGAUAAGCCGGUUGUGAAAGCCCCGGGCUCAACCUGGGAACGGCAUCCGGAACUGUCAGGCUAGAGUGCAGGAGAGGAAGGUAGAAUUCCCGGUGGAGCGGUGAAAGGCGUAGAGAUCGGGAGGAAUACCAGUGGCGAAGGCGGCCUUCUGGACUGACACUGACGCUGAGGUGCGAAAGCGUGGGUAGCAAACAGGAUUAGAUACCCUAGUAGGC
rnacentral:rRNA from 1 species